rnacentral:rRNA from 1 species
GUUAAAAAGCUCGUAGUUGGAUUUCUGGUGGGGCUGUCGGCCUGGCUCCGAAAGGGGUCGGCGCUUGUACACGCCUGGCCAUCCUCGGGGGAAGCUUUGCUGGCAUUAAGUUGUCGGCGGAGUGACGCUCGUCGUUUACUGUGAACAAAUUAGAGUGUUCAAAGCAGGCUUAGGCCGUUGAAUACAUUAGCAUGGAAUAAUGAGAUAGGACUUUGGUGGUCUAUUUUGUUGGUUUGCACGCCGAAGUAAUGAUUAAUAGGGGCGGUUGGGGGUAUUCGUAUUCAAUUGUCAGAGGUGAAAUUCUUGGAUUUAUGGAAGACGAACUACUGCGAAAGCAUUUACCAAGGAUGUUUUCAUUAAUCAAGAACGAAAGUUAGGGGAUCGAAGAAGAUUAGAUACCUUCGUAGUCUUAACCAUAAACUAUGCCGACUAGGGAUUGGCGGUCGCUUGUUCAGGCUCCGUCAGCACCUUAUGAGAAAUCAAAGUCUUUGGGUUCCGGGGGGAGUAUGGUCGCAAGGCU